GUGGAGCCCUCGUGAGUGGCAUUAGGCUUGACUGACUUACAAAAAAUCUUAACCAACUGUGUUCAGCCCUUUUCCCUUUCUGCCCUCUGCCAUGUGAGGUCACAGUGUUCCUCCCUCCUGAGGAUGCAGUGUUCAUGAAAGCAAACACUGGGCCCUCACCAGGCAACAAACCUGCUGGUGCCUUCAUCUUGGACUUCCCAGCCUUCGGAACUGUUAAGAAGCUCCACUGCGCUUUGUCCAUUGCAAGUUGAGAAGUGAGGCCCCAGCUGUCACAUACAGCAGUGGUGGCUGAGAGGAAGAACUGACACCUUUGUGCUAUCAGAGCACUUUGCAGAGGAGCUGUUAGUGGCCCUGUAGGAGUCUGCUGGCCAUACAUCUGGGUGUCAAAUCAAGAGAGCAUGAGAAGUUGGACAGGAAAGGUCCAAGGCAAAAUGGUUACUAAAGGCCAUCCCUGAUCCUGACCCUAAAAGAAGAAAAGGCCCUUUGCUCUUGGCAUGCUUUUGCAGGAGUGUCUCAGUCUGUUUGGGCUGCUAUAACAUUGACUGGGUGAUCUGCCUGCCUGGCCUCCCAAAGUGCUGGGGUUACAGGUGUGAGCCGCUGCACCAGGCCUUGAGGUCAGGAGUUCGAGACCAGCCUGGCCAACAUGGUGAAACCUGUCUUUACUAAAAAUACAGAAAUUAGCCAGGCAUGGAGGCGCAUGCCUGUAAUCCCAGCUACUGGGGAGGCUGAGGCAGGAGAAUCGCUUGAACCCAGAAGGUGGAGGUUGCGGUGAGCCCAGAUAGUGCCAUUGCACUCUAGCCUGGCCAACAAGAGUGAAACUCUGUCUCAAAAAAUAAAUAAACAAACAAACAAACAACAA
rnacentral:lncRNA from 1 species